UACAGAGGGGGCAAGCGUUGUUCGGAAUUACUGGGCGUAAAGGGCGCGUAGGCGGCCUUCUAAGUCGAACGUGAAAUCCCCGGGCUCAACCCGGGAACUGCGUCCGAUACUGGAAGGCUUGAAUCCGGGAGAGGGAUGCGGAAUUCCAGGUGUAGCGGUGAAAUGCGUAGAUAUCAGGAAGAACACCUAUGGCGAAGGCAGCUCUCUGGGACGGUACUGACGCUGAGGCGCGAAAGCGUGGGGAGCAAACAGG
rnacentral:rRNA from 1 species